UGAGGGUUGAUAGGUUAAGAGCUAGAUAAUUGGACGUUACCCACAGAAGAGCACCGGCUAACUCCGUGCCAGCAGCCGCGGUAAUACGGAGGGUGCAAGCGUUAAUCGAAUUACUGGGCGUAAAGGGUGCGUAGGUGGUCUGAUAAGUUAUCUGUGAAAUCCCUGGGCUCAACCUGGGCAGGUCAGAUAAAACUGUUGGACUCGAGUAUGGGAGAGGGUAGUGAAUUUCCGGUGUAGCGGUGAAAUGCGUAGAGAUCGAAGAACACCAGUGGCGAAGGCGGCUACCUGGCCCAAUACUGACACUGAGGCACGAAAGCGUGGGAGCAAACAGGAUUAGAUACCCUGGUAGUCCACGCUGUAAACGAUGUCAACUAGCUGUUGGUAAUAUGAAUAUUAUUAGUGGCGCAGCAAACGCGAUAAGUUGAC
rnacentral:rRNA from 1 species